GGACUUUUAGAUUCAGAGGUGGGAGAUGCUACAAAGUACAAAGAUGAGCUGCGCACCGUGAAUCGCCAGCCAGCCAGCGUCGCCACCAAACGGCAAACGGGCCGGCAAAGUGGUGCCAUUUGCUUCCCUCCUCCCGCGUCUCCUCUCCCUCUCCUCUAUCCGUCCGCCCCUUCGCUGGCACCGGCACAGAUAUCUGUAUCCCCUUUACUAGUNN
rnacentral:lncRNA from 1 species